GACGAACGCUGGCGGCGUGCCUAAUACAUGCAAGUAGAACGCUGAAGGAGGAGCUUGCUUCUCUGGAUGAGUUGCGAACGGGUGAGUAACGCGUAGGUAACCUGCCUGGUAGCGGGGGAUAACUAUUGGAAACGAUAGCUAAUACCGCAUAAGAGUAGAUGUUGCAUGACAUUUGCUUAAAAGGUGCAAUUGCAUCACUACCAGAUGGACCUGCGUUGUAUUAGCUAGUUGGUGGGGUAACGGCUCACCAAGGCGACGAUACAUAGCCGACCUGAGAGGGUGAGCGGCCAGACUGGGACUGAGACACGGCCCAGACUCCUACGGGAGGCAGCAGUAGGGAAUCUUCGGCAAUGGACGGAAGUCUGACCGAGCAACGCCGCGGGAGUGAAGAAGGUUUUCGGAUCGUAAAGCUCUGUUGUAAGAGAAGAACGAGUGUGAGAGUGGAAAGUUCACACUGUGACGGUAUCUUACCAGAAAGGGACGGCUAACUACGUG
rnacentral:rRNA from 1 species